rnacentral:rRNA from 1 species
UACGUAGGGUGCGAGCGUUGUCCGGAAUUAUUGGGCGUAAAGAGUUUGUAGGCGGUUUGUCGCGUCGUUUGUGAAAACCAGCAGCUCAACUGCUGGCUUGCAGGCGAUACGGGCAGACUUGAGUACUGCAGGGGAGACUGGAAUUCCUGGUGUAGCGGUGAAAUGCGCAGAUAUCAGGAGGAACACCGGUGGCGAAGGCGGGUCUCUGGGCAGUAACUGACGCUGAGGAACGAAAGCGUGGGUAGCGAACAGG